AUCUAUAUAGGGCUUUACGCGUAUCAGUGAGGAUUCGUCCGAGAUCGCGUUUUUGCUAGUUGAAAACUAUAACUAUGACCACUCCUGUUGGCCUUCGGGUCGGCUGGGAAUUUUUGGACCAAAAACGCUUUU
rnacentral:snRNA from 1 species